rnacentral:rRNA from 1 species
GACGUAGGGCGCGAGCGUUGUCCGGAUUUAUUGGGCGUAAAGAGCUCGUAGGCGGUCUGUCGCGUCCGUUGUGAAAACUCGAGGCUCAACCUCGGGCUUGCAGUGGAUACGGGCAGACUAGAGUGCGGUAGGGGAGACUGGAAUUCCUGGUGUAGCGGUGGAAUGCGCAGAUAUCAGGAGGAACACCGAUGGCGAAGGCAGGUCUCUGGGCCGCAACUGACGCUGAGGAGCGAAAGCAUGGGGAGCGAACAGG